rnacentral:rRNA from 1 species
GACGAACGCUGGCGGCGUGCUUAACACAUGCAAGUCGAACGGAAAGGCCCUGCUUGCAGGGUACUCGAGUGGCGAACGGGUGAGUAACACGUGGGUGAUCUGCCCUUCACUUCGGGAUAAGCUUGGGAAACUGGGUCUAUUACCGGUUAGAAACCAUCUUUAGCGUGGUGGUUGGAAAGUUUUUUCGGUGUAGGAUGAGCUCGCGGCCUAUCAGCUUGUUGGUGGGGUAAUGGCCUACCAAGGCGGCGACGGGUAGCCGGCCUGAGAGGGUGUACGGCCACAUUGGGACUGAGAUACGGCCCAGACUCCUACGGGAGGCAGCAGUGGGGAAUAUUGCACAAUGGGCGCAAGCCUGAUGCAGCGACGCCGCGUGGGGGAUGAAGGCCUUCGGGUUGUAAACUCCUUUCGCUAGGGACGAAGCUUUUUGUGACGGUACCUAGAUAAGAAGCACCGGCUAACUACGUG